UUGCCAAUAAGCAAUGAUCAGUUUCUUUUGUUUGUUUUUCUAUUGUUUACCUACUAUAUUAGAUGAUGACUUACCUCCAAAACGCUUUAAAACUUUCGUUUAUAAUUCUAAGUGUGUUUAUAAUUAAAGAGCUACAGUGAAAUAAAAUGAAUUCUUCAAGAAAGGCAGCACCCAUGACAAAAGAUGAGACGAUGAUUCUAGCAGAACUUGUGGCGACGAAAAAACAUUUCAAUAAUAAGGCAACAAAUGCCACAAACAAUAAAUUGAAGGAGCAGGCUUGGCAAACCCUUGUAAAUGAUUUUAAUUCGUCGACUCGUCGUUUCCCACGAACUCCAUCGCAGCUUCGACUAAAAUGGGAAAACUUAAAGAACGCUACGGCAACAUAAGAAACAACCAUAGUAAGGUUAGUAUAAUUAGUUGAUUGUUUGUCUCUAAUAACACAUUGAUAAACAUGAUUUUUUCUUCAGGUUGCCGUAGUAUUUGAAAUAAUUAUGCUCUUUGUUACAGGCUGGAGGUGGUAAGGAUUGCAGAUGAAAUUUUGGAUAAAGCAUGCACAUUGUUGUAGGUCACAUAUAAUAUUUUUAACACUUUUACAGCCAAGCGGAAACAAAAUGGAAGAAAAGAAAUGCAAGACUUUUUGUUUUUAAUGUAUCGCACUUGUAUUAUUUGUUUUUUUGGUGUACAAUAAAGAAUACUCUCUCUCUCUCUCUCUCAAAAAAGAGACUUGACUUGGAAAAUAAAGAAAAGGAGAUUGUUGUAGCAAAAGUUAAGUUAGAUUUAGAUAAUUUAAAAAAUUAAAAAUUACUUAAAAGGAAUAUUAAAUUUCAUAAAUUAAGUAGGCAAUAAUAAUUUUAUGUUAGAUAGUUUUUUAAGUAUAUGUACAAAUUCUAAAUUAAAUAUCUUGCAUGUACUAACUACCAUGUAAUUAUCAUUUUGGAAAAUAAAAAAUAGUCAAAUUA